CCAAAAGUCAUUAUAGGAAAGAUCGAGCGUUUCAAGAUGACGAAGAUGGAAAAGGAUACUAUUAGGAUGGAGAGUUCCUUCAAGAUUUCUACUACUGAGGUCCAAACUAGUUACGUGACCAGUGAAACUAUCACAGGUAUCUGAAGUUACUUCCUGAAGAUGACGCUCGAAAGAAGUUCAAAUGGCUUCUCGGAUUCUCUGUUUAUAUUUACUUUUACGUUCUUAAAAUUGUAGAAAGCAUAAAAUAAGUGAAAACGUUACUCUCGGGGUAAAAGGAGGAAUCAUUUAUUUACUUGCUCACUUAUUAUUUGUAGUAGCCACUAUUUUUAUAGUUAACAUGUUUAUUAAUUUAAUUGCUUGGCACA